rnacentral:rRNA from 1 species
GUUUAGGGGUAAACCUGAGAAACCCGAAAGGUCGAAGGGAGAAAUUCAAUAGCGUGUCGUCGUCGGCGAUAGAUGUGCGUUUGACGGAAAACGGAACGGGCGACCCUCGCGGUCUGUCCCGGAAUAUCGUUUGUCGCUCGGCAGGUUUAGGUCGAUCCGAAGACGAUCGCGUGCACUUUUCUUCUGGUAGGACGUCGCGAUCCGUCGGGUCGUCGAUCUAAGACGGUUUUCUGUGCGGAAGAGCCCGCCGGUGGGUGGCGCGUUUCGGCGCGUUCGCCUUUACACCGGCGGAUCCGCCCGAUCCGAUCGACUCGCUCGACGGUACGUGAACGGUUCGGGGUCGCUGAUUAAUUUUUGAGCGUCGGAGCCGCGGCAAGGGCGACGUACGUACAAAAAGGACGUCGUUCGUUCGUUCGUUCGACGUUCGACCGGCGAUCGGGGUUUCGAUUCCGAUUCCGGGCGUGCGGCGCGUUGCUGGCCGCGGAUCGCAUCUCCGACCGGCCCUAUUAACGAAAACCGAUCUGCGACGCUUUAGCUUUGGGUAAUUUCAGGACCCGUCUUGAAACACGGACCAAGGAGUCUAGCAUGCGCGCGAGUCAUUGGGACUAAAUUAAACCUAAAGGCGCAAUGAAAGUGAAACUCGCGAACGCGCAAGCGUUUAUCGAGAAGGGAAGACGGCGGACGCAUUUAAUCGGUCCGCUUGCAUUCCCGGGGCGUUUCGUUCGUACUUCGUACGAAACGAGGCGCACCAAGAGCGCGCACGCUGGGACCCGAAAGAUGGUGAACUAU